CCUACGGGAGGCAGCAGUGAGGAAUAUUGGUCAAUGGCCGGAAGGCUGAACCAGCCAAGCCGCGUGAAGGACGAAGGUGCCAAGCAUUGUAAACUUCUUUUGUCAAGGGACAAAAUCAGGCUCGAGAGCCUGACCGAGGGUACUUGAAGAAAAAGCAUCGGCUAACUCCGUGCCAGCAGCCGCGGUAAUACGGAGGAUGCGAGCGUUAUCCGGAUUUAUUGGGUUUAAAGGGAGCGUAGACGGCGAGGUAAGCCUGAAGUGGAAGCCCGCGGCCCAACCGCGGAACUGCUUUGGGAACUGUUAUGCUGGAGUAUGGGAGAGGUAAGCGGAAUUCGUGGUGUAGCGGUGAAAUGCGUAGAUAUCAGGAGGAACACCGGUGGCGAAGGCGGCUUACUGGACCAUAACUGACGUUGAGGCUCGAAAGCGUGGGGAGCGAACAGGAUUAGAUACCCUAGUAGUC
rnacentral:rRNA from 1 species